rnacentral:lncRNA from 1 species
GUGUUGUUAGCUUGCUGCGUUAGGCUAGCUGGCCUUCUACAUAGGCCAUUAUAACUAAACACCGCUCUCAUUGCUUGUUUUACUUAAACUGUUAAACAUUGUCUUCGGAUUAGUUCUACAUAGAAAGAUGAACGGAGAAACUACCUGUUCCCAUAGUGUUGCUACCGAGCUAGUAAUAUUCAGUUGCUUGACAGAGUUUAUAUUCGAAUUACUUCAUAUGGCUGGCUACUUCUUGCUUCGAUCCAUCUGCAUUGUGUUGUUUGUUUGCUCUUUCUGAGGUCAAUCGUGUUAGCCGUGCUGACAUAGUUGUACCCAUACAAUUUGAGUGCACUAUUUGUGCUGUAAACCGCAGCAGAAUUUCCUUCAGUGCUGAACCACCUUCGGCUAACAAUAUUACUGUCCCCUUUUUUCUGGUGAUGCUUGAACUAUUGCUGUAUUACCUGGCCAUUUCAGAAUUCGCUUGAUUCAAUGGGCAGUUGCUUGUGCUUGGAUUUUGCGUGACCAGUCCACGUCGUAUUUCUUCGUCGAUCGAGUUAUCAUACUUUGUCUUUCUAGAGACUGCAAGAAAUCAAAUGAAAACUCAGAGAAAAUGAAAACACGUCAAGCUGAAAAUGCACUCUUCUCCGUGUCUAAGAGCAGGUAUAAUAGUACUAGUCAGUAGGCUAUAAAAAUUUACACGUCAUCUUAUUCGUGGAGGGGAGAGAAAGGCAAAGAGAGAACUGAGCGGGCGCUAGAUUUGGCGCCGGGCGACUUGAUGGUGAUUAAAAAACUGUUUUGCCGGUCCAAUGACGACCUAAUCGAUCCCAUGUGCAUUGUCCUCCCGCCCCUUCUCCGUCCUCCGUUGUUUCAUCGACCAGCGCUUGCCGCGGGCGAAAUCCACCGGGCAAUCUCCCCGUCAACGAGCAGAAAACACCACCAUCCAUACGGAUCAAAGCCUAUCGGGUGUACCCAUAAUCUCUCAUUUCUCUUCUGUAGCCCACAAAAUCCUUCGUCCUCAUGCCGCCGCCGCCGCAUGCUAAAUGACUAGAUCGAUGGCCGCCUACCUCACAAGGCAAGAAUCACCUGUUCUUCUUCUAGUUGUUUCAAUCUUCUGCGCCGCCGGCCAUCCUCAUGCAGGACAAGUAUGACGAACGACGCAGUUGCCACUAACAACUAGCACUGGGAUCUUGUGUCCUCAUCGAGGUAGCGGUGACCGUGCUUGUCUUGUGCUGAUACAUAAGCUAAGGUGAUGUUUAGACUGAGAAAAAUUUUGGAGAAGUUUCACGUCAAAUGUUUAACCGGAUAUCGGAAGGGGUUUUCGGACACGAAUGAAAAACGAAUUUCAAGGUUAGCCUGGAAGCCGCGAGACGAAUCUUUUGAGCCUAAUUAAUCUGUCAUUAGCACAUGUUGGUUACUGUAGCACUUAUGGCUAAUCAUGGACUAAUUAGGCUCAAAAGAUUCGUCUUAAGAUUUCUUCCAUUACUGGGCAAUUAUUUUUUGGUUAUCUAUAUUUAAUGCUUUAUUUAGGUGUCCAAAAAUUCGAUGUGAUGUUUUUGGAAAAAAAAUUUGGGAACUAAACAAGGCCUAAUCACUGAUGAAAGCUGGGUGGGAUGGAAGGAUCAAUUGAGGCAUGGAGCUGACCCACAGCAAGCUUGCUCCGCCAUGAAUCAACACCGUUACACCAGAUAGCUCAUUUGCAUUUUUUUCGUUUGUUUUUCCCUUACUUUUUUUUUGCUUCCAUGUGAAUUGGUGAUGGAUAAAAGGAUAAAUUAUCAAUCUUUGUCCUCUAGUUGUUAUCUGUGUUGUUGAUUUUAAUCUUAGGGUAUGGUGGUUGUUGUGAUUAAGCCUGUGAAGAAGAAAAGAGGGGAAAAUUGGAAGAAGAAAUAUGAGUUAGCAACCGAUUUUGUAUGUCACGCUCACACCACAGUAUGGCCACAGAGAUAGAGUUCACUCUUAAUCGUACAUGUCUAUAUGUAGAUGUAAAAUUAAUUUUUUGGCUGAGAAAAUGGAGUCUGCAUAGUAGUCACUCUAUUGUAUUGGUUGGCUUCAAUACUAACUGCAAAAUGAUAUGGCAAUGAGUAUAGCCAACAGAUGACUAUACUAUUGACCUUGCUCUAAAUCACGGUUUGUUGUCUACUAUUUUCCAUGCAUUGCUAGAUUUGAGCUUGGUUAUUCUAAGUGUUAAAGGAAUAUUACUCCAUCUGUUUUUUUAUUUGGCGUCAUCGACUUCCGAGUCUAUGUCUAACAUUUGUUUUAUUCCAAAAACUAGCUGGGCAGCCCACACUCAUUUAUGUGGCUAGAUUUUCUUUAUUUAAAGUAUCAGAUGGUAUAACUUAUACACAUAUAACAGUGGAUAUUUUUUUUGAAUUUUUGAUUUAACUGAAUAAUGAUCGAGUACAACGGACUGUUGAAAUGUCCCAUAGACGUGAAUACUCCAUCCUAUAUGGAUUCUGAUGCCCUCCAGCCUUUAUUCUGUCUAAGAUUAUCUUGUGGAACAAUAGAUAUUUUGAAAAAAGAUCUUCGUCCUAUAUAUAUAAAUUUUUAUUUCUUGAAACUUCAAUAAUAACCCUGUGAAAUUUAUUUGGAACGAGCAAAGACGACUGGGCCCUAUAUAUAUGGGAGGGGCCGAGGGGGUGAGCACUUUGGAACGAGUAAAGAUGACUGAGCCCUAUAUAUAUGGGAGGGGGUGAGCACUCUGCACUUUCAUACUACGCAAGCACUGGAAAUAUAAAUGUGCAAGCUACAAUUGAUGGCUCGAGUUUAAUUUAGCAAACCAUUUAUUUAAAAACCAUUUUCUCAAAACACUAAGUGAGCAUUUUAAAAUAAACUCCUGAUUGAAGGAAGCAUAUCACCUCGAUCCGUCUAUGAGUUGCUUUACAACAACACUAGUAGAUAAAUCAUAGGUUUAAUUAUUUAUAAACAACAUUUCCUUCAUUAAUUUAUUCUCACUUUUCAAAACAUAAACCAAUAUUUUUCCUCAAAACAAAAUGUUAGCCAACUUUCAUGGUUAACUAGUCUUCUCGGCUAUGGAUCCGACCCUCUCAAUUUGGCAUCCCAAAACUCGGCCCACAACAGGCCAUUACGGUCACUAAAUUGGCCAUCAUGGCCCUCUUGGUGUCGAACGACUCCCCAUGUCACAAAUACUCGUUCCCAACCACGAAGGCUGGACGUCCAUCACAAAGAAGAACUUUGGAAACAAUGGCGGAACCAGGAUCUCAACACGUGUAGGGCUCAAAGUAGAGGCAAGAACCAUCCAUAAAAAUUCAUUCAACUAAGGACAGUGACAGUAAAAAUAAUACAACGGAACUUGACCAUAUUGAAUAUUUCUUUGCUGAAAUAUGGAAAUAAGUUACCAAUUGGCCGCUACGACCCCUUGAACGACCACUCUUAGUUAUCUCAUGACAUUAGCCACAUUUUGCAUUUUUCCAAUAUCUGACUUUCCCCCAUGUAGCAUUCAAAACCAUAAUUUUCAGCUCGAGAUUGCUUAAAAGCAAUAAAAACAGAAAGCUGCAUUCUUAGCAACACUAUACUCCAACCAAUUAUGCUUUUUGAACCAUGAUUUCUGAAAACUCCUAUUGGCACCUCCUAUUUUCUUUUGUGGAUAGUUAUGAUCAACUUGUUGACAUGGACCCAUUAAUAAAUACUCCCUUCUAGCAGCAUCCCUAAUGUUUGCAUCCAAUUGUUCAGUUGUUCAGUUGGUGUGCGAAGGCCAGGAUCAGCACCAUUUGGAUUAAGCAGUAUGUUAUCUUGCUCCUCUUCAUAUACUAAAUCAAAACAAUUUUCUAGUUGACCAAUUGAUAAGAACUAUGAAAGGAGAGGGGUAAAAAUUGAGAAUAGAAAAAAAAUACUUUUUGCUGGCCUGAUGUUUUGCGGCCAAGCACUGCGNNN